rnacentral:rRNA from 1 species
UACGUAGGGUGCAAGCGUUGUCCGGAAUUAUUGGGCGUAAAGAGCUCGUAGGCGGUUUGUCGCGUCUGCUGUGAAAACUCGGGGCUUAACCCCGGGCCUGCAGUGGGUACGGGCAGACUAGAGUGCGGUAGGGGAGACUGGAAUUCCAGGUGUAGCGGUGAAAUGCGUAGAUAUCCGGAGGAACACCGGUGGCGAAGGCGGCAUCCUGGACCGGCAUUGACGCUGAGGCGCGAAAGCCAGGGGAGCAAACGGG